CCUUCCACCAACCCCAUAUUGGUAACAUCAAAACCGAGAGAAUUCUGACAUUCCAUAGCACGGAUCUUCUCAGCAAGAGCCUCAACUUUGCGGUCUCUCUCAUCAACCCUUCCCAGAACGUCUUCGUCUUCACUGAGCAGAGUGAACAUAUCCUCUUGUCUGUCAACAAUCGGAACAGGAUUACGGGCCGGGGCACGGACUGCUCUGGCAUUAGCGGCAUCUGG
rnacentral:lncRNA from 1 species